CCUACGGGAGGCAGCAGUGAGGAAUAUUGGUCAAUGGACGAGAGUCUGAACCAGCCAAGUAGCGUGAAGGAUGACUGCCCUAUGGGUUGUAAACUUCUUUAGGCGGGGAGCAAUGCCGGGCACGCGUGCCCGGAGGGAGAGUACCCGCAGAAUAAGCAUCGGCUAACUCCGUGCCAGCAGCCGCGGUAAUACGGAGGAUGCGAGCGUUAUCCGGAUUUAUUGGGUUUAAAGGGUGCGUAGGCGGAAUUUCAAGUCAGCGGUAAAAUGUCGGGGCUCAACCCCGGCCGGCCGUUGAAACUGGGGUUCUUGAGUGGGCGAGAAGUAUGCGGAAUGCGUGGUGUAGCGGUGAAAUGCAUAGAUAUCACGCAGAACUCCGAUUGCGAAGGCAGCAUACCGGCGCCCGACUGACGCUGAGGCACGAAAGCGUGGGGAUCGAACAGGAUUAGAUACCCCUGUAGUC
rnacentral:rRNA from 1 species